rnacentral:rRNA from 1 species
UCCAGACUCCUACGGGAGGCAGCAGUGGGGGAUAUUGCACAAUGGGGGGAACCCUGAUGCAGCGACGCCGCGUGGGUGAAGGAGCGUUUCGGCGCGUAAAGCCCUAUCGGCAGGGAAGAAGGAGGACGGUACCUGACUAAGAAGCCCCGGCUAACUACGUGCCAGCAGCCGCGGUAAUACGUAGGGGGCAAGCGUUAUCCGGAUUUAUUGGGUGUAAAGGGGGCGCAGACGGCAAUGCAAGCCAGGAGUGAAAGCCCGGGGCCCAACCCCGGGACUGCUCUGGAAACUGUGCGGCUUGAGUGCGGGAGGGGCAGGCGGAAUUCCUAGUGUAGCGGUGAAAUGCGUAGAUAUUAGGAGGAACACCGGCGGCGAAGGCGGCCUGCUGGACCGUAACUGACGUUGAGGCUCGAAAGCGUGGGGAGCAAACAGGAUUAGAUACCCGAGUAACA